rnacentral:rRNA from 12 species
AAAUUGAAGAGUUUGAUCAUGGCUCAGAUUGAACGCUGGCGGCAGGCCUAACACAUGCAAGUCGAACGGUAACAGGAAGCAGCUUGCUGCUUUGCUGACGAGUGGCGGACGGGUGAGUAAUGUCUGGGAAACUGCCUGAUGGAGGGGGAUAACUACUGGAAACGGUGGCUAAUACCGCAUAACGUCGCAAGACCAAAGAGGGGGACCUUCGGGCCUCUUGCCAUCAGAUGUGCCCAGAUGGGAUUAGCUUGUUGGUGAGGUAACGGCUCACCAAGGCGACGAUCCCUAGCUGGUCUGAGAGGAUGACCAGCCACACUGGAACUGAGACACGGUCCAGACUCCUACGGGAGGCAGCAGUGGGGAAUAUUGCACAAUGGGCGCAAGCCUGAUGCAGCCAUGCCGCGUGUAUGAAGAAGGCCUUCGGGUUGUAAAGUACUUUCAGCGGGGAGGAAGGUGUUGUGGUUAAUAACCGCAGCAAUUGACGUUACCCGCAGAAGAAGCACCGGCUAACUCCGUGCCAGCAGCCGCGGUAAUACGGAGGGUGCAAGCGUUAAUCGGAAUUACUGGGCGUAAAGCGCACGCAGGCGGUCUGUCAAGUCGGAUGUGAAAUCCCCGGGCUCAACCUGGGAACUGCAUUCGAAACUGGCAGGCUUGAGUCUUGUAGAGGGGGGUAGAAUUCCAGGUGUAGCGGUGAAAUGCGUAGAGAUCUGGAGGAAUACCGGUGGCGAAGGCGGCCCCCUGGACAAAGACUGACGCUCAGGUGCGAAAGCGUGGGGAGCAAACAGGAUUAGAUACCCUGGUAGUCCACGCCGUAAACGAUGUCUACUUGGAGGUUGUGCCCUUGAGGCGUGGCUUCCGGAGCUAACGCGUUAAGUAGACCGCCUGGGGAGUACGGCCGCAAGGUUAAAACUCAAAUGAAUUGACGGGGGCCCGCACAAGCGGUGGAGUAUGUGGUUUAAUUCGAUGCAACGCGAAGAACCUUACCUGGUCUUGACAUCCACAGAAGAAUCCAGAGAUGGAUUUGUGCCUUCGGGAACUGUGAGACAGGUGCUGCAUGGCUGUCGUCAGCUCGUGUUGUGAAAUGUUGGGUUAAGUCCCGCAACGAGCGCAACCCUUAUCCUUUGUUGCCAGCGAUUAGGUCGGGAACUCAAAGGAGACUGCCAGUGAUAAACUGGAGGAAGGUGGGGAUGACGUCAAGUCAUCAUGGCCCUUACGACCAGGGCUACACACGUGCUACAAUGGCGCAUACAAAGAGAAGCGACCUCGCGAGAGCAAGCGGACCUCAUAAAGUGCGUCGUAGUCCGGAUUGGAGUCUGCAACUCGACUCCAUGAAGUCGGAAUCGCUAGUAAUCGUGGAUCAGAAUGCCACGGUGAAUACGUUCCCGGGCCUUGUACACACCGCCCGUCACACCAUGGGAGUGGGUUGCAAAAGAAGUAGGUAGCUUAACCUUCGGGAGGGCGCUUACCACUUUGUGAUUCAUGACUGGGGUGAAGUCGUAACAAGGUAACCGUAGGGGAACCUGCGGUUGGAUCACCUCCUUA